rfam:Dipodomys ordii contig_34200, whole genome shotgun sequence.
GGUGGCUCAGUGGCAGAGCGCUCGCCUUGCAUGCCUGAGGCCCUGGGUUCGAUUCCUCAGCACCA